UACCCGUAUUCUCAUAUCUGAGC
rnacentral:miRNA from 1 species